rnacentral:rRNA from 1 species
UAUACAGCGAAACUGCGAAUGGCUCAUUAUAUAAGUUAUCGUUUAUUUGAUAGUGCCUUACUACUUGGAUAACCGUGGUAAUUCUAGAGCUAAUACAUGCUAAAAACCCCGACUUCGGAAGGGGUGUAUUUAUUAGAUACAAAACCAAUGCCCUUCGGGGCUCUUUGGUGAUUCAUGAUAACUAUACGAAUCGCACGGCCUUGCGCCGGCGAUGGUUCAUUCAAAUUUCUUCCCUAUCAACUUUCGAUGUUUGGGUAUUGGCCAAACAUGGUUGCAACGGGUAACGGAGGGUUAGGGCUCGACCCCGGAGAAGGAGCCUGAGAAACGGCUACUACAUCCAAGGAAGGCAGCAGGCGCGCAAAUUACCCAAUCCCGACUCGGGGAGGUAGUGACAAUAAAUACUGAUACAGGGCCCUUUCGGGCCUUGUAAUUGGAAUGAGUACAAUUUAAAUCCCUUAGCGAGGAACAAUUGGAGGGCAAGUCUGGUGCCAGCAGCCGCGGUAAUUCCAGCUCCAAUAGCGUAUAU